AUUGAACGCUGGCGGCAGGCUUAACACAUGCAAGUCGAGCGGGGGAAGGUAGCUUGCUACUGGACCUAGCGGCGGACGGGUGAGUAAUGCUUAGGAAUCUGCCUAUUAGUGGGGGACAACAUCUCGAAAGGGAUGCUAAUACCGCAUACGUCCUACGGGAGAAAGCAGGGGAUCUUCGGACCUUGCGCUAAUAGAUGAGCCUAAGUCGGAUUAGCUAGUUGGUGGGGUAAAGGCCUACCAAGGCGACGAUCUGUAGCGGGUCUGAGAGGAUGGUCCGCCACACUGGGACUGAGACACGGCCCAGACUCCUGCGGGAGGCAGCAGUGGGGAAUAUUGGACAAUGGGGGGAACCCUGAUCCAGCCAUGCCGCGUGUGUGAAGAAGGCCUUAUGGUUGUAAAGCACUUUAAGCGAGGAGGAGGCUACUUUAGUUAAUACCUAGAGAUAGUGGACGUUACUCGCAGAAUAAGCACCGGCUAACUCUGUGCCAGCCGCCGCCGUAACAC
rnacentral:rRNA from 1 species